GUGCUGGCUUCAGCAGCACAUAUACAAAAAUCAGAGUGAUACAGAGAAGGUGAGCAUGGCCCCUACUCAAAGAUGACGUGCAAGUUUUUGAAGCUUUCCAUAUUUUU